GCUACGGGUGGCAGCAGUGAGGAAUAUUGGUCAAUGGACGAGAGUCUGAACCAGCCAAGUCGCGUGAAGGAAGAAGGUACUUAGUAUUGUAAACUUCUUUUGUCGGGGAACAAAGGCGGAGACGCGUCUCCGGAUGAGUGUACCCGAAGAAAAAGCAUCGGCUAACUCCGUGCCAGCAGCCGCGGUAAUACGGAGGAUGCGAGCGUUAUCCGGAUUUAUUGGGUUUAAAGGGUGCGUAGGCGGGCAUUUAAGCCGGCGGUCAAAUGUCGGGGCUCAACCCCGGCCUGCCGUCGGAACUGGGUGCCUUGAGUGGGCGAGAAGUAUGCGGAAUGCGUGGUGUAGCGGUGAAAUGCAUAGAUAUCACGCAGAACCCCGAUUGCGAAGGCAGCAUACCGGCGCCCUACUGACGCUGAGGCACGAAAGUGCGGGUAUCGAACAGGAUUAGAUACCCGAGUAGUC
rnacentral:rRNA from 1 species